rnacentral:rRNA from 1 species
GACGAACCGUGCGAACGUUGUUCGGAAUUAUUGGGCGUAAAGAGCUCGUAGGCGGUUUGUCGCGUCUGCUGUGAAAACCCGAGGCUCAACCUCGGGCCUGCAGUGGGUACGGGCAGACUAGAGUGCGGUAGGGGAGAUUGGAACUCCUGGUGUAGCGGUGGAAUGCGCAGAUAUCAGGAAGAACACCGAUGGCGAAGGCAGAUCUCUGGGCCGUUACUGACGCUGAGGAGCGAAAGCAUGGGGAGCGAACAGG